rnacentral:rRNA from 1 species
UACGUAGGUCCCGAGCGUUGUCCGGAUUUAUUGGGCGUAAAGCGAGCGCAGGUGGUUUAUUAAGUCUGGUGUAAAAAGCAGUGGCUCAACCAUUGUAUGCAUUGGAAACUGGUAGACUUGAGUGCAGGAGAGGAGAGUGGAAUUCCAUGUGUAGCGGUAAAAUGCGUAGAUAUAUGGAGGAACACCGGUGGCGAAAGCGGCUCUCUGGCCUGUAACUGACACUGAGGCUCGAAAGCGUGGGGAGCAAACAGG